GGAGCUAUAAUGCAAGUCGAGCGGACAGAUGGGAGCUUGCUCCCUGAUGUUAGCGGCGGACGGGUGAGUAACACGUGGGUAACCUGCCUGUAAGACUGGGAUAACUCCGGGAAACCGGGGCUAAUACCGGAUGGUUGUUUGAACCGCAUGGUUCAAACAUAAAAGGUGGCUUCGGCUACCACUUACAGAUGGACCCGC
rnacentral:rRNA from 1 species